AUUUUAUGAGCAUGGAGGUGAGAUGCACGUUUCACAAGAUGCUCCUUUGAAGCCAUCUAUGGACAUCUUUGCUGUUGGGUGUGUUAUUGCGGAGCUUUUCCUCGAGGGCCAGCCAUUAUUUGAAUUGUCUCAACUGCUUGCUUAUCGCAGAGGACAACACGAUCCCAGUCAACUUCUGGAAAAGAUUCCAGAUUCAGGAAUCCGGAAGAUGAUUCUUCAUAUGAUUCAAUUGGACCCAGAGUCACGAUAUUCAGCUGAAAGCUAUCUGCAGAACUAUGCAGGAGUUGUGUUCCCAAGCUACUUCUCACCAUUCCUUCAUAAUUUCUAUUCCUUGUUGAAUCCCCUUAAUUCCGAUGCAAGGGUUCUGAUAUGCCAGACCUCUUUUAAUGAGAUCCUUAAACAAAUGAUGAGUGAUAAGCCUGGUGACAGGAACCUUCCUGCUGUGAGUCCACAUUCAGUUCCUGUCAGUCAAACACGGCAAGUGAGUGAUAUGAACGAAAAUCUGAAUUUAGUGAAGGACUCAUCGAGCAACAGAGAAGAGAUUGAGAAGGGCUCAGUUCAUGAUCGCUUUGAUCUGCUUGGCAACGUGAACACUUUGCUCAGGGAUGUGAAACAAAAUAA
rnacentral:misc_RNA from 1 species